GACCACUCAAGCCUAGCUUGGUAUUGGGGCACGCGGUUCCGCGGCCCUCAAAAUCAGUGGCGGCGCCGGUGGGCUCUAAGCGUAGUACAUACUCCCGCUAUAGAGUUCCCCUCGGUGGCUCGCCAGAACCCCCCAAUCUUUACA
rnacentral:misc_RNA from 1 species